AUUUCCCUUCCUCCAGCACAUCCGCCUUUGGAUGUUUUUCUUCUCCCCUUCUCCUUGCUUCCCUUCCCAAGCAGACCAAGUAACGCCACUUAAAGAGUAAUCUCUGUUUCCCUCUGGGUCCACCUUGUCUCUUCCUGAAGAAAUGUAACACAAACUGAGAGUCCAGAAGAGCACCUAAGAAGUAUUGUGUUAUAGUGCUAGUGCUUUACACACCAUGCGUAUGUACGGUGAGCCUAUGCCAAGGACUUAAGAGCAACAGAUGGACUUAUGUGCCUACUUCUCACAGGAGGUAUUACCUAAGAAGGGGGUUAUGAUGGUCCGGGCCUUCAAUACUAAGUAGAGCAAAAGGAUCCAAUAUUCUGCCAAGUCAAUGGUAGAGCCAGAAAACAAAGGCACAACUUUUGAAUUGCCGUGUGAUGCCUGAAAAGAGAAUGCUAAAGGAUUAUUAUUAUUUUUUUUCCUGUGUAGGUAGACAGCAAAUGGAUGAAUAAAACAAACUUUAUAUGCCA